rnacentral:rRNA from 1 species
UAACAAGGAUUCCCCUAGUAACGGCGAGCGAAGCGGGAAGAGCUCAAAUUUGAAAGCUGGCACCUUCGGUGUCCGCGUUGUAAUCUCGAGACGUGUUUUCCGUGUGGCGCUAUGGACAAGUCCCUUGGAACAGGGCAUCGUAGAGGGUGAAAAUCCCGUACUUGCCAUGGCUGUACCAUGCUUUGUGAUACACGCUCUAAGAGUCGAGUUGUUUGGGAUUGCAGCUCAAAAUGGGUGGUAGACUCCAUCUAAAGCUAAAUAUCGGGGAGAGACCGAUAGCGAACAAGUACCGUGAGGGAAAGAUGAAAAGCACUUUGGAAAGAGAGUUAAAAGUACGUGAAAUUGUCGAAAGGGAAGCGCUUGAAGUCAGCCAUGCUGCUUGAGACUCAGCCUUGCUUUUGCUUGGUGUAUUUCUCGGUAGCAAGCCAGCAUUGGUUCGAGUCGUCGGAGAAGGGUAUGAGAAAUGUGGCAUCCUCGGAUGUGUUAUAGACUUGUACUGGAUACGACGAUUUGGAUCAAGGAACGCAGUGUGCCUCUGGCGGGUCUUCGGACACCUUCACACUUAGGAUGCUGGCGUAAU